UGCGUAGGGUGCAGGCGUUAAUCGGAAUUACUGGGCGUAAAGCGUGCGCAGGCGGCUUUGCAAGACAGAUGUGAAAUCCCCGGGCUUAACUUGGGAACUGCAUUUGUGACUGCAUGGCUGGAGUGCGGCAGAGGGGGAUGGAAUUCCGCGUGUAGCAGUGAAAUGCGUAGAUAUGCGGAGGAACACCGAUGGCGAAGGCAAUCCCCUGGGCCUGCACUGACGCUCAUGCACGAAAGCGUGGGGAGCAAACAGG
rnacentral:rRNA from 1 species